rnacentral:lncRNA from 1 species
GCCAAUUCCAAUUCUCAUCAGCCUCUGAGAGGCCCCUGGGUUUGCAGCUUUGCUAAACAAACUAGGAUCAAGAUUCUUGAAGCAAACUGGACCCAACCAUCUAUGGUGCCAACGCCAAGAACAUUACACACAUUAUCAAUAAACCAUCCAUCAUCGUUGUCUUCUCCCCCAAUCUUCAAGAUAUCGCGCCACCAAAUUAAUUGUCUGCUAGUGAGAGUAUUUGUUAGCAUCCUACAGAAGUGACUUGUAUUUGUUAGCAUGUGGUGCAAAUAUAACAAAUUAACGUUGUGGAUCACGGGUAGGAAGUGGAUUUUGGCAUAUAAAGUAAGCAGACAUCAUAGGUUGUAGAUUCAAUAUUUCCCUCACCAUUUUCUUUUAUAGUUUUCGGAAACAGAUCUAGCAUUUUUCAGAAAUUACGAAAAUGUCAAAACACUAAUUUCAUUGUUUCUGUAAAUACAUUCUUCCUAACUUGCCUUCUAUCACAAUUGUUCAUGACAUAAGUCUGUUAUCUCCUUGUUAGCAAUUAAAAGGAACAUGACAUAACCAUGUUAAAUUUG